rnacentral:lncRNA from 1 species
GGUAAUGCCAUGAACUUCAACAUACACUGUUUCUCUCUUGUUUUGUUUCCCCCUUUUUCUGAUAUAUGUCUCUGAUUCAGGUAUGAUUACCGAGCUGGGUUCUGGGGCGUGAUGGGCAAACCGUGUCUCGGUAUAGUACCUGUAAGUACUUUCACAUUGUUCUUUCAAAAUUGAUAAUUGAAAACUGUAUCAUCAAAUUGAUAAAGAAAUGGUUGACUUACUCGUUGUUGUUACAGCCAUUUAUUGAGGAGUUUAGCCAUCCAAUGCCGGAUAACUGUGCUGCGGGAAACACAGA